ACCGAUUCUUGGGGCAUUGAAUCUCAUGGGUGCCCAGGCAUUGUAUUAAUUUGCUCGUAGACAUAUGUAUUCUUGUACUGCAGAGACUGAGAAGCGCAUUCAUGCAGUUCUCGCCGCUUGUGCAAUGGUUUGAGCUACACCUUCGAGUAGUUGCUGGCAGUCAAACUUCGCCUUUUUCUUUAUUUCGAGAUUCACGUCCGAGAAAUCUAGUGGGCGCGCUUCUUUGUCUAGUGAAUCUACUCGGCAAUGGUAUCGAAAUCCCUACGAUUGCAUGUGCCAGCCAAUUAAAUGCUUAAAUACGUUUGGAUGAAUACAGGACCACUAGUCGAUUCCAUCUGGCCAUGUCCGGCUGUCUAUCCGUCUGUCCGUAUGAACGGGCAGAACCAUUUAAGCUAGAAGGUUAAGCUAGUUUUAAAUUAUAGUAUUCUCCGAAACCAAGUAAAAACAAGAAAGGAAGCUAGCUUCGGCAACCUGAGCAGAUAUGUAUGCCAAAUUAUAGCGAUUCAGCCAUUGAUACUGAUCGCAUGUUUCUUCUUUACUGCAUUGCAAAGUUUAACUGAAGUCAUGAUACUCUCUGAAUGCAACACACACAAACAUUACAAUGAAUUCGAAAUUCAUACUGCGCAAAAUCCAGAAUUGACUACCCAUGCUAAGUAAAUUCUAAAAUCCAACCAAUCCUUGAAAAACCCCAAUUUUUUCGCAUUUGUCUUACGCUCAGAACGUCGAGUGAAUUGAAAUGAAGUCGAAUCAAACGAAAUAAAAUGAAUUUUAAUGGUAUUUUACGCACAAGUAUAUACUCGUAUAUUUCUUUUGGCACUUUGUGUGGCUGAAUGGUUAAUUAGGUUGCAAUUGCAUACUUGGCGCAUGCUUGAUGUGAGCGUUUGGGCAUUGAGCAUUGGAAGCUCACUGGCUGAGUCAGCAAACGUUGCCGUACGGCAAACACGUUUUCAGAUCAAAACUGGCAGGAACUAUAGACCAUGACACGUACACCGGACAAGUAGACAACGGACAGUUUUUCCCAUGAGCAACUAGCGAUUUCGCACCAUUCAUUUUGGUUUUGUUACUUGGGCAAACAAGGUGAAGGUUGAGGGACAUAAAAAUGUCCACAAAAGGAUGACAAUGACAGAGAAAAGAGAGCUUAUACUCGUACACUUCUGCCUUUAGAUAUAGAUGAUGUCGGGUUCGGGUGAUAUUACACUUUACAUUUAUACUACAUACAUAUAUAUGUAUGUAUUUAUUGGCCAAACCCUCCGAAUUGUUACUUUAGGAGAGCAAACGAAACCACAAUGAUUGCUGUUCACUUAAAAAAGUUGGCUCAUCCUCAGACGUCAAAUACAAAAUCAACUGCAAAACUGA